rnacentral:rRNA from 1 species
GAAUUUUGGGCAAUGGGCGAAAGCCUGACCCAGCAACGCCGCGUGAAGGAUGAAAUCCUUCGGGAUGUAAACUUCGCAAGAACGGGAAGAAUAAGUAAGAGCUAACAUCUCUUACGAUGACGGUACUGUUUGUAAGCUCCGGCUAACUCCGUGCCAGCAGCCGCGGUAAUACGGGGGGAGCAAGCGUUGUUCGGAUUUACUGGGCGUAAAGCGCACGUAGGUGGCGACGUAAGUCGGGUGUGAAAGCCCCGGGCUCAACCUGGGAAUUGCAUUCGAGACUGCAUUGCUGGAGUACGGAAGAGGAGGGCGGAAUUCCCGGUGUAGCGGUGAAAUGCGUAGAUAUCGGGAGGAACAUCAGUGGCGAAGCCGGCCCUCUGGUCCAGUACUGACACUCAAGUGCGAAAGCGUGGGGAGCAAACAGG